CAUCGGCCAUCGCCCACUUCCUGCCCCUCCAUUCGCAAAUUCUUCUCCUCCCUGUCGCGCCCUUCCUUCCCCUCCCUGCCCGGCGAGAGAGGCCACCCAGCGCGGCUCCGCCUCUCCCGCUCCCGCGCCCCACAAACCCUAGGAACCUCGAACCCCGAGGUUCCCGUCCGUCCCCGCGCGCCUCCCUCGCCGCGUCGCGGCCCUAGCCGUCGCGGGCGUCACAAUGCCGCUCCGGUUGGAUAUCAAGAGGAAGCUCGCGCAGAGGUCGGAGCGGGUCAAGUCUGUGGAUCUGCAUCCGACAGAGCCAUGGAUUUUGUCAAGUCUCUACUCGGGGAGUGUCUGCAUCUGGAACUACCAGACGCAGACAAUGGUGAAAUCAUUUGAAGUCACAGAUUUACCAGUUCGUUCGGCUAAAUUUAUUGCACGAAAGCAAUGGGUGGUUGCUGGUGCUGAUGAUAUGCAUAUCCGUGUGUACAAUUACAAUACAAUGGAUAAGGUCAAGGUAUUUGAAGCUCAUACCGAUUACAUCAGGUGUGUGGCUGUUCAUCCAACCCAGCCUUUUGUGUUGUCAUCAUCUGAUGACAUGCUGAUCAAGCUUUGGGAUUGGGAUAAGGGUUGGGCGUGCACUCACGUAUUUGAGGGGCAUUCUCAUUAUGUGAUGCAAGUCACAUUUAACCCAAAGGAUACCAAUACUUUUGCUAGUGCAUCUCUUGAUCGCACAAUAAAGAUAUGGAGUAUUGGUUCUCCUGAUCCCAACUUCACGUUAGAUGGCCAUUCAAAAGGCGUGAACUGUCUUGAUUACUUCACUGGUGGUGAUCGCCCAUUUUUAAUUACUGGCUCUGAUGAUCAGACUGCAAAGGUUUGGGACUACCAAACAAAGAGCUGUGUUCAAACACUUGAAGGACAUGCACACAAUGUCUCAGCUGUAUGUUUCCAUCCAGAAUUACCUAUAAUAAUUACUGGUUCAGAGGAUGGUACGGUUCGCUUGUGGCACUCUACUACCUACAGACUUGAGAACACUCUUAACUAUGGCCUUGAGCGAGUUUGGGCUUUAGGAUACAUGAAGGGAUCAAGAAGAAUUGUGAUUGGUUACGAUGAGGGGACAAUUAUGAUAAAAAUCGGGCGUGAAGUACCGGUUGCUAGCAUGGAUAACAGUGGAAAAAUCAUAUGGGCGAAACACAAUGAAAUUCAAACUGUUAAUAUCAAGACUGUUGGGGCAGGCAACGAGAUUGCAGAUGGUGAGCGAUUACCAUUGGCUGUGAAGGAGUUGGGAAGCUGUGAUCUUUACCCACAAAGCUUAAGGCACAAUCCGAAUGGGAGAUUUGUUGUUGUAUGUGGAGAUGGAGAAUACAUAAUUUAUACCGCACUAGCAUGGAGGAAUAGAUCUUUUGGGUCUGCUCUUGAAUUUGUUUGGUCGUCUGACGGUGAAUACGCAAUCAGAGAAAGCACAUCAAGGAUAAAGAUAUACAGUAAAAAUUUCCAGGAGAGGAAAAGUAUAAGGCCAACAUUCUCCGUAGAACGUGUAUUUGGUGGAGUAUUACUGGCUAUGUGUACAAAUGACUUCAUCUGCUUUUACGACUGGGCAGAUUGCAGGUUGAUACGUCGAAUCGAUGUCAAUGUGAAAAAUCUCUACUGGGCUGACAGUGGUGAUUUAGUGACUGUUGCAAGUGAUACAUCAUUCUACAUUUUGAAGUACAACAGGGAUGUAGUAUCUUCUCAUUUGGAUGGAGGGGGUUCAGUUGGCGAGGAAGGUGUGGAAGAUGCCUUCGAACUGCUUCAUGAGAUAAAUGAACGCAUCCGAACUGGGCUAUGGGUUGGCGAUUGUUUUAUCUACAACAAUUCGUCAUCGCGGCUUAAUUACUGUGUUGGAGGAGAGGUCACCACCUUGUUUCACUUGGACCGACCGAUGUAUUUACUAGGAUAUCUUGCUAACCAGAGCCGUGUCUAUCUUAUUGACAAGCAGUUUAAUGUUGUUGGGUACACGUUACUCCUCAGUUUGAUCGAGUAUAAAACACUUGUACUGCGUGGGGAUUUUGAUCGUGCAAAUGAAGUUUUGCCCUCUAUACCAAAGGAACAAUAUGACAGCGUCGCACAUUUCUUGGAAUCACGGGGCAUGUUGGAGGAAGCCCUUGAGAUUGCAACAGACUUGAACUACAGAUUUGACCUGGCAGUGCAGCUUGGUCGAGUCGAUGAUGCAAAGGCCAUUGCUCUUGAGGUGCAAAGUGAGUCCAAGUGGAAGCAGUUAGGGGAGUUAGCUAUCUCAACUGGAAAGCUCGAGAUGGCAGAGGAGUGUCUUCAACAUGCCAUGGACCUCAGUGGUCUAUUGCUUUUGUACUCAUCCACUGGGGAUGCUGAAGGGAUAACAAAAUUGGCGUCAAUGGCUAAAGAACAAGGAAAGAACAAUGUUGCCUUCCUUUGUUUGUUCAUGUUAGGCAAGUUGGAGGAAUGCCUUCAAUUGUUGAUUGAAAGCAAUCGUAUUCCGGAAGCAGCAUUGAUGGCGAGAUCUUAUCUUCCGAGCAAAGUCCCUGAGAUUGUAGCAUUAUGGAAAAAAGAUCUCCAAAAAGUAAACUCAAAAGCAGCAGAGUCAUUGGCAGAUCCUGAUGAGUACCCAAACUUAUUUGAAGACUGGCAGAUUGCUCUUAAUGUAGAAGCUACUGUUGCGCCUAAAAGGGGUAUCUAUCCACCUGCCGGGGAGUACUUGAUUCACGCUGAAAGGUCCAACGAAAGUCUUGUGGAAGCUUUCAAAAAUAUGCAUGUGCAUGAAGAGGAUGAUGUACAUGAAGAAGACGAUGUACAUGAGGAGGAGGUGCUAACAAAUGAAAAUGAUACUGUUCACGAGGUUAUUGAAGAUGACGGAGCAGAAGAGAGCCAGGAAGAUGCUGUUGAGGUUGAUGCUGAUGGUUCAACUGAUGGCACCAUCCAUGUGAAUGGAAAUGAUAGUGAGGAACAGUGGGGUAUGAACAAUGAAGAACCAUCAGCAUAAAAGCUGUAGUUGAGCAAGUUGCUGACUCCUGACCACUAGUGGAUAAUGAGACAGCAGCCUGCAUCAGUGGUUUAGUUUUGUAAAGGUUGCUGACUGUUUCUGGGAUGUAAAAGUCGUUUCUGCCCAUCUGUAUAAGCACUUUGCUCUAGGAUUGGCUUAUCCAGUUACAACAUUCGACAUCAAUUUAGUAACUACUUUGCUUUUGUGCCGGAUAGAAAUUUUGCACUUCAUUUUUACAUAGAAGUCUGGUUGGUAGGUUUGGGGGAUGUUUUAUAGGGUGUAAGAGGCUCAUUUUCUCAUUUUGAGAUGGAAUUGUGUUUGAUUGGAGGCGCUAUGUUUUACACAAUUUAUACAAAGUACAUAGGGCAGUCGGUUUGGGGAGGUUUCUGCCGCCCCGUAAUGUAAACGUCAGAUAGCUUGAAGACAGUACACUGGACUUGGUGGGAGCUCUAUAUAUCUUGUACUGUAUGUGCCUGGUUGGGACUAUAUGGGUGUGGCAUAAUACGUUACCUGA